rnacentral:lncRNA from 1 species
CUCCUUUUCCCACUGCACUUUAGCAAAUGCAACUUCCUUUGCAAUGUGCACUUCUUUUUCUUUCUCCCACUGCCUCUUUGCUUCAGUAAUAGAAUUAUUGUAUCUCUCCUCAAGCUCACUUCUCAGAAUUUUAAGUGACUCUUCUUUUUCUUCUAUAAGCUGUUUCUUGAGCUUAUCUUCUUUCAUCUGCUGCUCAUGUGCAAACGUCUGUCUUAAAGUAGUUUCCAAGGUGUCCUUCUC